AAGAAUUUUAUUUGUUUCUUAAAGUUGUUUAUUUAAUAUAUUUAGUUUGUCAGCUCGAAUAACGAUUGCCAAUCGCCAUACGGUCAAAUUAAACUCUGGACGAGUCCAUUUUCAAAUUUUCCCCCUGUGGGGCGUGGGUCCCACCUUAGGAAAUACUGCUCUAACAAUUCACUGGUACUCUACUCUCUCGUUUCUACACUUCUACCCCAUUCCUUCUCUUUCCUUCCUUGCAUCUAUGCAACUUCAUCUCUCUACUAACACCUUCCCUUCUUUUCCCGCAUCAGUCAGCCCCUUCCCCGUCUCCUGCUCUCAAUUUCUUUCCAUCUCGAAUCUCCUGCGUUCUCUCGUUUCUCGCAUUCCGCUUCAUCCUUCUUUCCAUCUUGCCUUCUUCCAUCAAACGCCUCUCGCGCGCGUCUACUUUAAAAUCACGCGCAGAUCAUCUAAUUGCUACGAAAUAAAAUAAGGAAAAGGAGCUGGAACGCUAUCGUUGCGCGACCCUCUUUUCCCCGAUCGCGGAAACGCUCGCGAGACGUUAUAUAAACGCAGAGAAUCGUCCAUCGUUUAUGCAAUCCGUGUCGCCCUCUUCGUUCCUCUUCUCUUAAUCGAGCCUUUUUUCCGCUGGCAAGCGUCACGCGACAUUUCUGCCGGCAGGAAUGCGUGCCCAGCGGCAUUCCUUAUUGACAUUACGGAGGAAUCGUCGAGGUCGUCAGGUUCGAGUACCACUCCCACAGGCUCGGAAACAGGUACGGAAGAGGCACGCGGCUCAGGACAGAACUACUAUUGGCGUUGGUUGGAGAGGAAGCCUACCUUGGCGGACGCCGUUACUCGCGGAGGCAGUACCGAGUUUAUCUGAACACGAUCGACUGAUCGACAUGGGGAAUCGGUUCGAUGCUUGUAUCGCAGGUUGUAGAAGUGGGUUAAUAGAGACCCGUCUAUGGACACGGCGAAUCACUACGUAGAAGUAAAGCAAAGGUUUCGUCGAACAGGAGAGAUGGAAUGGAUACGUCAGAAUGGGUCUAAACACUUUCGUCAAAUGUGAUGGACUUUCUACUUCAUCGGCUUUCUUAAGAACUUUCUCAUCAUACUGGCAAUAAAUAAUUGUAAAUUUAUAAUUUCUCGAUACCUAAUAAAGCGAUGGGUUAUCAGUAAUGUAGAAAUCCAAGCUACCUUAAAA